rnacentral:rRNA from 1 species
GAUGAACGCUAGCGGCAGGCCUAACACAUGCAAUUCGAGGGAGAAGCCCUUUCGGGGGCAGAAACCGGCGCACGGGUGCGUAACGCGUAUGCAACCUACCUUUCACAGGGGGAUAGCCCGAAGAAAUUUGGAUUAAUACCCCAUCAUAUUAUUGGAUGGCAUCAUUUGAUAAUUAAAACUGCGGUGGUGAAAGAUGGGCAUGCGUCCUAUUAGCUAGUUGGAGUGGUAAUGGCACCCCAAGGCCACGAUAGGUAGGGGUCCUGAGAGGGAGAUCCCCCACACGGGUACUGGGACAGGGACCAGACUCCUACGGGAGGCAGCAGUGAGGAAUAUUGGUCAAUGGUCGGAAGACUGAACCAGCCAUGCCGCGUGCAGGAAGAAUGCCUUAUGGGUUGUAAACUGCUUUUAUAUGGGAAGAAUAAGGCGUACGUGUACGUUGAUGACGGUACCAUAUGAAUAAGCAUCGGCUAACUCCGUG